rnacentral:rRNA from 1 species
UACGUAGGUGGCAAGCGUUGUCCGGAUUUACUGGGCGUAAAGGGCGUGCAGGCGGUUUGUUAAGUCUAGGGUGAAAGCUCCCGGCUCAACUGGGAGAGGUCCUUGGAUACUGGCAGACUUGAGGAGAGUAGAGGAGAGUGGAAUUCCUGGUGUAGCGGUGAAAUGCGCAGAUAUCAGGAAGAACACCCGUGGCGAAGGCGGCUCUCUGGGACGGUACUGACGCUGAGACGCGAAAGCGUGGGGAGCGAACAGG